rnacentral:misc_RNA from 1 species
CAACCCUCAAGCUCUGCUUGGUGUUGGGCCCUGCCCGUCGCGGCCGGCCCUAAAGUCAGUGGCGGCGCCGUCUGGCUCUAAGCGUAGUACAUCUCUCGCUCUAGGGUCCUACGGUGGCUUGCCAGAACCCCAACUCUUAU